rnacentral:rRNA from 1 species
GGAUGGGCAUGCGGCGCAUUAGCUAGUCGGCGGGGUAACGGCCCACCGAGGCGACGAUGCGUAGGGGUUCUGAGAGGAAGGUCCCCCACACUGGUACUGAGACACGGACCAGACUCCUACGGGAGGCAGCAGUGAGGAAUAUUGGUCAAUGGCCGAGAGGCUGAACCAGCCAAGUCGCGUGAGGGAAGAAUGUCCUAUGGAUUGUAAACCUCUUUUGUCAGGGAGCAAAGUCACCCACGUGUGGGUGUUGGAGAGUACCUGAAGAAAAAGCAUCGGCUAACUCCGUGCCAGCAGCCGCGGUAAUACGGAGGAUGCGAGCGUUAUCCGGAUUUAUUGGGUUUAAAGGGUGCGUAGGCGGGUUAUCAAGUCAGCGGUAAAAUCGUGGAGCUCAACUCCAUCCAGCCGUUGAAACUGAUGAUCUUGAGUGGGCGAGAAGUAUGCGGAAUGCGUGGUGUAGCGGUGAAAUGCAUAGAUAUCACGCAGAACUCCGAUUGCGAAGGCAGCAUACCGGCGCCCGACUGACGCUGAAGCACGAAAGCGUGGGU